rnacentral:rRNA from 1 species
UACGUAUGGUGCGAGCGUUGUCCGGAAUUAUUGGGCGUAAAGGGCUCGUAGGCGGUCUGUCACGUCGGGAGUGAAAACUCAGGGCUUAACCCUGAGCCUGCUUCCGAUACGGGCAGACUAGAGGUAUGCAGGGGAGAACGGAAUUCCUGGUGUAGCGGUGAAAUGCGCAGAUAUCAGGAGGAACACCGGUGGCGAAGGCGGUUCUCUGGGCAUUACCUGACGCUGAGGAGCGAAAGUGUGGGGAGCGAACAGG